rnacentral:lncRNA from 1 species
AUGAUAUAUCGCAAACAGACCGAUAAAAUCUCGCACGGUGCCUGCCUAAAGUCUCCAGGCCGUAAAGAGAGACCAAGCAUGGCAGGCCUGAGCCCGAGCCCCUCCUCACACGUCAGCUGGUUCCAAAGCGAACUUCACAAUCCCCGAGUCAGUCCUUCAUGGGGUCAUCUGCAGCACCCACAGUUCCUACAGAAUCCACCAUGGCAAAAUCUGCGUGACGAUUCCUCCGGGCGCCCCCUUACACACAUCGGUCAAGGCCACCCCCGAGCCAUCAAACCAACCCCCAGCGCCAGCCACCCUGCGCCAGGAGCAAAGCAGGCAGCGCAGGGGACAGCGGCCGGGCCUCCUCCCCGCCCGCUGGCUGCAGUCACCCCGGGACAGCAGCGGUCCUGGCUGCGGCCACCCCUCCCUGCCUGGCCGGCGGGGAACAUCCGCUGCACCGAGUCACCUGGCCUGUCUGUCCUGAAACAAAGAAAACCGGGGUCCCAACCCAGCGCCCAGAGCUUCAGGAGGUGCUGUCUCCUGGAAGAAGUCUUCUCGGGCUCCUCCCACCUGCUCACUGCACGGCCCACGUGUCUAACGUCAACAGCCAAGUAGGACUGCGCCUUGCUCCGUCUCUGUUUCUUUCUUCCUUUCUUUGGGGGAUGUGUAUCUCAGAUACCACCUCUGCCCACAGAUUUCUGCCAAAUUGAAGACAGCUCUUUAAAACUAUGUACGGAGAGUCAAUUUAGACUUAAACCAGUUUUAGCUCAUCUUUCCCAAGAACAACUUCUAACUAGUAAUCUGAUUACUAGGAUCUGAUUACUUUUAGGAUCACUUUAGGGCUGCAAAUUUAUCUCAACGGCGCAGCCCCUGCCUGGCAAGCCCAAGGUCGUGAGUUCGGUUCCCGGUUACAGAAAAAAACAAAACAAAC